rnacentral:rRNA from 1 species
GAGUUUGAUCAUGGCUCAGGAUGAACGCUAGCGACAGGCUUAACACAUGCAAGUCGAGGGGCAGCGGGGGUGAUGGCUUGCCAUCACCUGCCGGCGACCGGCGCACGGGUGAGUAACACGUAUGCAACCUGCCCGCCACAGGGGGAUAAGCGGAAGAAAUUCCGUCUAAUACCGCGUGACGCGGCACCGGGGCAUCCCGGUGCCGCCAAAGGGAUUACCGGUGGCGGAUGGGCAUGCGGCGCAUUAGCUAGUCGGCGGGGUAACGGCCCACCGAGGCGACGAUGCGUAGGGGUUCUGAGAGGAAGGUCCCCCACACUGGUACUGAGACACGGACCAGACUCCUACGGGAGGCAGCAGUGAGGAAUAUUGGUCAAUGGGCGCGAGCCUGAACCAGCCAAGUCGCGUGAGGGAUGACGGUCCUACGGAUUGUAAACCUCUUUUGCCGGGGAGCAAGCGUGCGUUCGUGAACGCGCGUCGAGAGUACCCGGAGAAAAAGCAUCGGCUAACUCCGUGCCAGCAGCCGCGGUAAUACGGAGGAUGCGAGCGUUAUCCGGAUUUAUUGGGUUUAAAGGGUGCGUAGGCGGGAUGCCAAGUCAGCGGUAAAAAUGCGGUGCUCAACGCCGUCGAGCCGUUGAAACUGGCGUUCUUGAGUGGGCGAGAAGUAUGCGGAAUGCGUGGUGUAGCGGUGAAAUGCAUAGAUAUCACGCAGAACUCCGAUUGCGAAGGCAGCAUACCGGCGCCCUACUGACGCUGAGGCACGAAAGCGUGGGUAUCGAACAGGAUUAGAUACCCUGGUAGUCCACGCAGUAAACGAUGAAUGCUAACUGUCCGGUGCGAGUGAGCGCUGGGCGGUACAGCGAAAGCGUUAAGCAUUCCACCUGGGGAGUACGCCGGCAACGGUGAAACUCAAAGGAAUUGACGG